AAAUAACAGAAUUUUAAAAAGCGCACCUUGUUCAGCUAAAAAAAGAAUGCAGUGUAUCCAGAGAUAUCUAUUUGCUAACCAUGGAGUUGCUGGUGAUUAUAGCAAGAUUUGGAUAAAAUAAUUGACUUUGAAGUUUUUCCCUACACAACUAUAUUACCAACUUUGCUUAGAGUUUGCUAAUUUUACUUUAGUUCCCUGAAAAUCAGUGUCCAGUGAGCAAGUCCAUUUGAAUCAUUUUCAGCAGAAACUAGUUCAAAACAUUAUUUGUAAUACUAUACAGCUG